AUGCCUGUUUGGUGCAGUGCGAUUCAUGUGUUGUUUCUAGAUUCCAGGUGGCUCAUUUGUGCCCUUGUUCUCGGCUGUGGACCUCGCCUCUGGCUCGUCUCGCACCUCCAGCUGUCCCUCAGUUCCUUCUGGAUGAAGCCUGUCUGUCAUGGUGGAGGAUCCUUCCUUCAUGUGGAUAUCCCUGAGAACCAUACCAGCUUGUUCCUCGCAGCUCUGCCAGUGAUCCGCAUCCCACUCCACCCCCGGAGAAAGCCAACAUUACCAACCACCUUCUCAUCUCAGAUGGCAGCUCUCCAGCCUCUGCCUCCGUGGCCUCCGCCGGCUCCCGCAGUGUGCCUUAUCUUCUCUCGUCUUCACGGUCCCAGGGAAGAGUGGCUAGGCUUCGCCGACAUCAAACUCCCGCUCAAACUCCCUGGUAUGUGCUCUUUGCACACCAGACAUCUGCUAUUGCCAUGGAGGAGCACUGAUCGGUGACUGGGAGCUGAUUCUUGUCAGGAUAUCUGGUCCUGUCAUCACUGGGGGGUGGGGUGCCUUCCGGGUAUAAGCAACAGUUGGCUGUUUAUUCUUUAUAUUAUUUACAUUUAUUAGUCAAGAUGAUGGCUUGUGACAGGACACAAAAGGACAAAUUACACUUCAGAUAAGGAGGUCUGGAGUGGCAGAGGAGUUUGGUGAAGUUGUAAGACGGGGUGGGAUGUGUGAGGUGUGACACAGGAGCUCAAGUUGGAGGAACGAUCAGCUUUGAGCUCCUUCUUGUUCAGUCUGGUGACAGAAUCUCUUUGAAUCAUAAUGUUUGCAGAUGACACUGUGAUCUAUAGUAACAGUAGGGAACUGGGGGUGGAACAUCUAAAGCAGGGAUACGCAACUCCAGGCCUCAAGGGCCGGAUUCCUGCACCCAACAUACCCUGCUCUGGGAUGUUCUAAUUGGCCGGACACACAGGAAUCAGGUAAUUAGUCAUUAAUAAGGCUUGGAUAUUUGCAAAUUAUGCAGACACUGCAGCCCUUGAAUUGCCUAUCCUAGAUCUAGAGAUUGAAUAAAAACUAAGGGUCCA
rnacentral:lncRNA from 1 species